rnacentral:rRNA from 1 species
AUUGAACGCUGGCGGCAGGCUUAACACAUGCAAGUCGAGCGGGGUGAUGGUGCUUGCACUAUCACUUAGCGGCGGACGGGUGAGUAACGCUUAGGAAUCUGCCUAUUAGUGGGGGACAACACCUCGAAAGGGAUGCUAAUACCACAUACGUCCUACGGGAGAAAGCAGGGGCUCACUUGUGACCUUGCGCUAAUAGAUGAGCCUAAGUCGGAUUAGCUAGUUGGUGGGGUAAAGGCGCACCAAGGCGACGAUCUGUAGCGGGUCUGAGAGGAUGAUCCGCCACACUGGGACUGAGACACGGCCCAGACUCCUACGGGAGGCAGCAGUGGGGAAUAUUGGACAAUGGGGGGAACCCUGAUCCAGCCAUGCCGCGUGUGUGAAGAAGGCCUUAUGGUUGUAAAGCACUUUAAGCGAGGAGGAGGCUCUUUUGGUUAAUACCCAAGAUGAGUGGACGUUACUCGCAGAAUAAGCACCGGCUAACUCUGUGCCAGCCGCCGCCGUAA